CCAUGGGAUCUGAAACCGCUUUGCUUCUCGAUUCAGCCAGAUAAGGCCUGGAUACAUACCGCUAUCUACCUGGGCCACGAGCCAGGGCUUCAAGCGCACUCUUCGCGGGUGUAACGCCAUUGUCUACAAAGGACAGAGGCUUGCACUGAGAAGGAAAAGAAAACUACAUGCCAAAUCUGAAGCUUUUGCCCUGACUGAGGUAUAGGUGGAACCAUCUGUCUGAAGCAGAGGGGACUGGUUUAACAGAGAUGGGCUUUCCUCCUAAAGUCAUUUCACAACUUUUUCUUGAUUUCUUUGAAUGCAAUAUAAUCACUUGCAAGCACCAGUGUAAGGUGCUGACCUAUAAAAACCAGGAUGUUUAUCCAGAAGGACAUGAACUGCAAGUCUGCACUGACACUAAAAAUCAAGUCAUAUUGACUUAAUGUUUAAUUUCUUUAAAAAAAAAAAAAA